UACGUAGGGGGCAAGCGUUGUCCGGAUUUAUUGGGCGUAAAGAGCUCGUAGGCGGUUCCGUAAGUCGUGAAGUCAAAUCUCUGGGCUCAACCCAGAAUCGCUUCCGAUACUGCGGUGACUGGAGUCCGGUAGGGGAGUGUGGAAUUCCUGGUGUAGCGGUGAAAUGCGUAGAUAUCAAGAGGAACACCUGAGGUGAAGACGGGUUGCUGGGCUGACACUGACGCUGAGGCGCGAAAGCCAGGGGAGCAAACGGG
rnacentral:rRNA from 1 species